UACAGAGGUCUCAAGCGUUGUUCGGAUUCAUUGGGCGUAAAGGGUGCGUAGGCGGCGCGGUAAGUCGGGUGUGAAAUCUCGGAGCUUAACUCCGAAACUGCAUUCGAUACUGCCGUGCUUGAGGACUGGAGAGGAGACUGGAAUUUACGGUGUAGCGGUGAAAUGCGUAGAUAUCGUAAGGAAGACCAGUGGCAAAGGCGGUUCUCUGGGCCUUACCUGACGCUGAGGAGCGAAAGCAUGGGGAGCGAACAGG
rnacentral:rRNA from 1 species